AUGGCUCAGAACGAACGGCUGGCGGCGAUGGAUUAGGCAUGCAAGUCGAACGGGAGCAGCAAUGCUCCAGUGGCGCAAGGGUGAGGAACACGUGAACAACCUGCCUUCGAGUUGGGGAUAGCUUCUGGAAACGGGAGAUAAUACCGAAUAACAUCACCGGAUCGCAUGAUCGGGUGAUCAAAGCAGCAAUGCGCUUGAAGAGGGGUUCGCGUCCCAUUAGCUAGUUGGUGAGGUAACGGCCCACCAAGGCGAUGAUGGGUAGCUGGUCUGAGAGGACGAUCAGCCACAUUGGGACUGAGAUACUGCCCAGACUCCUACGGGAGGCUGCAGUCGAGAAUUUUGGGCAAUGGACGAAAGUCUGACCCAGCCAAUGCCGCGUGCGGGAUGAAGGUCUUCGGAUUGUAAACCGCUGUCAAGAGGGACGAAACAUGACGGUACCUCUGGAGGAAGCCACGGCUAACUACGUGCCAGCAGCGGC
rnacentral:rRNA from 1 species